rnacentral:lncRNA from 10 species
AAAAAAAGAAGAAGACGAAAUGCAAUAGACUUUAUGCAUUGAGUCUAUAUCCAGCAAUCUUGCUAAAUUCACUUAUUCAUUCCUCACCCUCUGGUCGCCAGUCUAUUAACAAGCAUCAUCAUAUUGAGGUAGAUCUCUGGAAGCAGAUUCUGGAAAUCUUGCUGAACAAGGAGAGCAGGUAGAAAUGAAAUGCUGAGAAUAUGGGAGAAUAUGUUUACAAUGGAACAAACUUUCCGUGGGUAUACUGGGAGGAACAGGAAAUGGAGGGAAAACAGAGCGAGGAGUAUGUUUCUUAACUUUAAGUCAAUGCAUAGAUGAGGGACUAUCAAGAAUAGACUUCAGCUGGGCACAGUGGUACACACCUGUAGUUCCAGCUACUCAAGGAGGCUGAGGCAGAGGAUUGUUUAAGCCAGGCUCUAGUGCACUGUGAUUGCACCUGUGAACAGCCACGGCACUCCAGCUGGGGCAACCUAGCAAGACUCUGUCUCAUUAAAAAAAAAAAAAAAAAAAAGAAUAGGGAUUUCAUUUAUGCCAUUUUUGGAAAGAGAAUUGAGACUAACCAAAGGACACAUCUUAAUUAUGUUGAGUGGGUCUGCAGGUGAAAGGAUGAGGGAUAUCAGGAAGGGCUGCAGAAUAGAUGAUUUUACAGCGAGUUUGUAGAGUGGAACCCACAAAUCCAUGGAACAUGUUGAUAGUGCAGUUUUUCUCAGUGUGGUCCAUAACAAGCAUCAGCAGCACCUGGGAACUUGUUAGAAAUGCAGAUUCUAGGGCCCAUCCCAGAUCCACAGAAUCAGAGUGGGGCCCAGACACCUGUAUUUAGGCACACCCUUCAGGGGAUUCUGAUGCAUGCCAAAUUUUGAGAACUGUCCAUUUAGGAGUGAAUGCCUCAAACUAGUCCUUCAGGUGCUAUAACUUGCCACUAAUAGCCCCAUGAAGAGUCCCAAAUAGGGUAGUUAGUAUUGCUUUUAAACCUACUUUAUUCUUGUUUAUAUUUUGCUUUGCCGUUGUGUCUUAGUUUUAUGCACUUUGCUUCCAUAGAUUAUAAUAUUCUCAGUAUAGAAUCCAUGUCUCAUACUUGCAGUCCUCUGGCUCUAUAAGAACACUUCAUGUGAUUGUGUAAGGAUCUCUCGAUCAUGCUGUGCAUACCCCACUAAGUCCUUUAUCCUAUUAUUCACAUGACAGGAUAUUUUAAAAUGUUUUCUCCGUGCAUUUCUAUGUAACACAAUGCCCAUCCCCAUUCAGGCAGCUAGAUCAUGGGUCCAAGGAUGUUACCAAAGGAAAAACAAAAAAAGGCUUUGACUUCCAAAAAUCUAAAUCUAAACCUUCAUGCUCUGAGUUGUAGGGAGGGGAGUCAGGAGGGAGAGCCCUUAGGUCCAAUGAGUCCCUAUGAAGAGAUGUUACUUUCUGUUGGGAGCAGGCCCCCCCCAAAAUCUGGC